AAUCUAUUUUCAUAUUAAUUAUGGUUAUUUUAUUAAUACAAAUAGCAGCAGGUAUAUUGUAUCAAAAUUUCAUUUGCAAAUGUAUUUUUAAAAUACACAUUUCAGUCAAAUCAACAUUACUGUAUGCUUCAUCAAUACUGUUAUUAGUUGUUACCUUUUUGAAAUUGGAUUCAUUGCGCACUUUUUCUAUAUUUUUAAUAACAUGGUUGAACUAUGUAUUUUGAUAUAUUCAUUUUAUGAUCAUUUGUCUUAUAAUGUUAUUGUAAAAGUGUCUUGUUUUUAUUUUGAUAAUUAACUCUCUUUAAAAAGAGAUUACAUGUACAUGUUUAUUUUUUAAAUCUGUUUAUGUUAAUUUAUUCCUCCAAAUAAUAUCCUUACAGAUUAAAAAAUAUUCUGUCCUGUUUAAUAGAUCACUUCCCAACAAUCUCAGGAUGGUCUGACAGCCGUUUUAGGGACUUGCUUGGUCCGAGAAAUGUCAUUGCGCAAUAUAUUAAAAAAAUAUUUAAUUUGGUGAUGUAGACUUUGGGCGGAAAUUAUUAGAAGAGAAUUCAAAAGUGAACAAAUCUUGUACCAUUAGAUUCCUUAUUCAUCCCCCGAAUAUAUAAUUCUGUUCAUGUUCUAAUCUUUAAAAUCUCAAACAAAAGCUCGAUUUUACGACACUCAAUUUCACUUUGAAACUUUUCGAAUGAUUAUGUUAUUUCGUUACGUGGACAUGUUUAAUUGUAAAUAACACAUAUAUAUUUGUGGAGAAAAAUGAAUAAGUAGAUCGACUGAUACUUUCAAAUGAAACUGUUAACGAUUUCCGGAUAGAAAUGUGCUACUCAAAGUCUCGGUCUGCAAUGACUAUAUUUUCUUUAUGCAGUGCGCUCUAAUGUCCCAUGUCCCAGGUAAAUUCCACAAAAUUCAGAUAUGUCUUUAGCUAACUAUCCCAUUGUUUUGUUUUGCAUAAAAUACAAGAUAAUUAGAAUUAUUCCACAGUAACAUGUUAACUUUGCAGAAUUUAAGGAGCAUUAAUGGUAUAACCACUUGUUACUGGACACAAAUGAGACUGUUAUUUUUGAAUAGUAAAAGUAAAGAAUUUAAAUAUUUUUAAUUUUUUAUUAUAUUUAUUUAUUAACAAUUUUUAACAUUAUUGUAAUAUAUUUUCCCUUUUUGAACUUUAUGUAAUAUAUGUUCCCUUUUGGAAUGUAAUGUAAUAUAUGUUCCUUAUUGAAACAGUUGAAAGAAGGAUACAAUUUGUUAGUCAACAACUGUACUCAUUCCGUCCUCUUUUUAGUUAAUAAUAAACAUAGUUUUGU
rnacentral:lncRNA from 1 species